rnacentral:tRNA from 1 species
UACGGUGUAGCUCAGUUGGUAGAGCAUCUCUCUAGCCAAGAGAAGGUCACAGGGUUCGAAUCCCGUCAUCGUAA